rnacentral:rRNA from 1 species
AGCGAACGCUGGCGGCAGGCCUAACACAUGCAAGUCGAACGGGCACCUUCGGGUGUCAGUGGCAGACGGGUGAGUAACACGUGGGAACGUGCCCUUUGGUUCGGGACAACUCCGGGAAACUGGAGCUAAUACCAGAUAAGCCCUUCGGGGAAGGAUUAUCGCCAAGAUCGCCCGCCGUCUGAUAGCUAGUUGGUGAGGUAAUGGCUCACCAAGGCGACGAUCAGUAGCUGGCUGAGAGGAUGAUCAGCCA